rnacentral:rRNA from 1 species
AGUCGAACGAGACCUUCGGGUCUAGUGGCGCACGGGUGCGUAACGCGUGCGUAUCUGCCCUUGGGUUCGGAAUAACAGUUGGAAACGACUGCUAAUACCGGAUGAUGACGAAAGUCCAAAGAUUUAUCGCCCAGGGAUGAGCCCGCGUAGGAUUAGCUAGUUGGUGAGGUAAAGGCUCACCAAGGCUACGAUCCUUAGCUGGUCUGAGAGGAUGAUCAGCCACACUGGGACUGAGACACGGCCCAGACUCCUACGGGAGGCAGCAGUAGGGAAUAUUGGACAAUGGGGGCAACCCUGAUCCAGCAAUGCCGCGUGAGUGAUGAAGGCCUUAGGGUUGUAAAGCUCUUUUACCCGGGAUGAUAAUGACAGUACCGGGAGAAUAAGCCCCGGCUAACUCCGUGCCAGCAGCCGCGGUAAUA